AUACCUUUCUCGGCCUUUUGGCUAAGAUCAAGUGUAGCGUCUGUUCUUGUCAGUCUAAUAUCUGAUACGUGGGGCAAUGGCCCGCUUCAUAUUAAAUUAAUUUUUUAAAGGGGAGGUUCCAUUUCAGUAGCUUGCUACCGGGUUCCUCGCGCGUAGCCCAUGAGUUGCACUGUUGCUCGGGCCCCGCGCACCCUAC